CACGAGUACAAGGACAAACAAAAAUUGGCAAUGCAAACUUAAAUUAUUAAUUAAUAACAAUAAAAGGCUGAGAAUAUUUCAGAAUGUAGUGUGCCAUGGCAAUACAGACGGAACAUAAACUAUGUGGUUCCUCAUAGGUGGUGGGACAUUAUUCCAACACUUUGAAGCGUUAUACCGGUAGCUGCCCCGGAAGGCUGCCGAAGCAUGGCGUGGCGUCAGCAAAUGACUUCCACAAUUGCGGCGGUCGCGGAGCUUGAUGCAAGAUAACUUA